rnacentral:rRNA from 1 species
UACGAAGGGGGCUAGCGUUGCUCGGAAUCACUGGGCGUAAAGGGUGCGUAGGCGGGUCUUUAAGUCAGGGGUGAAAUCCUGGAGCUCAACUCCAGAACUGCCUUUGAUACUGAAGAUCUUGAGUUCGGGAGAGGUGAGUGGAACUGCGAGUGUAGAGGUGAAAUUCGUAGAUAUUCGCAAGAACACCAGUGGCGAAGGCGGCUCACUGGCCCGAUACUGACGCUGAGGCACGGAA